rnacentral:rRNA from 1 species
UACGUAGGGGGCUAGCGUUGUCCGGAUUUAUUGGGCGUAAAGAGCGUGUAGGCGGCCAGGUAGGUCCGUUGUGAAAACUCGAGGCUCAACCUCGAGACGUCGGCGGAAACCCUCUGGCUAGAGUCCGGAAGAGGAGAGUGGAAUUCCUGGUGUAGCGGUGAAAUGCGCAGAUAUCAGGAAGAACACCCGUGGCGAAGGCGGCUCUCUGGGACGGAACUGACGCUGAGGUGCGAAAGCGUGGGGAGCGAACAGG